rnacentral:tRNA from 1 species
AUUUAAAUAGCUUAUAAUUAGAGUAUAAUAUUGAAAAUAUUAUGGAAAUAAUUCAUUUUUAAAUA